rnacentral:rRNA from 1 species
GAUGAACGCUAGCGACAGGCCUAACACAUGCAAGUCGAGGGGCAACAUGGUAUCAGCUUGCUGAUACCGAUGGCGACCGGCGCACGGGUGAGUAACGCGUAUGUAAUCUACCUGUAACAGAGGGAUAACCCGGAGAAAUUCGGACUAAUACCUCAUAGCACAUAUUAUUCGCAUGAAUUUUAUGUUAAAGAGACUCGGUUACAGAUGAACAUGCGUUCCAUUAGCUGGUUGGCGGGGUCACGGCCCACCAAGGCAACGAUGGAUAGGGGUUCUGAGAGGAAGGUCCCCCACACUGGUACUGAGACACGGACCAGACUCCUACGGGAGGCAGCAGUGAGGAAUAUUGGUCAAUGGGCGGAAGCCUGAACCAGCCAAGUCGCGUGGAGGAAGACGGCCCUACGGGUUGUAAACUCCUUUUACCUGGGAAUAACGGGCGCUACGCGUAGCGCUGUGCAAGUACCGGGAGAAUAAGCAUCGGCUAAUUCCGUG